AGAAUUUUCUUCCUCCGAAGCGGUUUUAUCGGAAGAGGUCAGAGUGAUAAAAGUGAACUUCGAUUAAACGAAGGUGAGUAGUAGAGAAGGAAUGGAACAAAGCGUCGUCGUUUCUUUCAAAUUAGUUCUACAGUAGGAAACGGCUCGACGAUCUUUCUGUAUAGUCGUCCACCAUGCAGAACUCUAUCUUUUUAGUUGAAAAAAGCAGAAGUUACUUGGAUCUUUAUUAAAGUUCGAUCGAUGGUCGAUCACGAAGAAUUUGUUACAAUAUGAGCGAAGAAGUUUAAAGCCGAUAAAGUAGGUUUCCGUGGAGAACCUAUGUGCAGUGCACGUUGCAGGAAUGGAUCGAAUCUCGAUUAAAACGUAGUCGGUAGUGGGAACUAGAACGUGGAGUCAGAAAUCCGGUUAAAACCAGACACAGUUGUCGGUGUUUCGAGGCUUGAACAACCAUACGCUGGGAAAUCACACCGGCCGCAGAUGCUUAGACGCUUUGCGAGUGUCCGCGCGUACAGGCACGUGCGUUUCCGUCCCGAAACCAAUUGUAGCAACCUGUCAGAAUUUUCGUGUCACGUCAAGUGAAAUCAAUUGAAGACUUUUCUUCGUUCAACAAUUUUCUCCAUUUGCGAUCUAUUCGCCGUUUUUAAUUCGCUACUUAUUUCACUAAACGUAAUUAGAAACGCGUUUUGCAACGAACUCUAGAUAAUUUUCUUCGUACAUGUUUAAUUAAUAAAUUAUAGAUGACAUGUUAUAAAUUAUAGUCACAUGUUCGUUCAUCAAGGUUCAGCAAGUUUCAAAUCACAGUAGGAUACUCGAGGAACCGAACUUCCGUACAAUCUGCGUGAAAGAUAAAAUGUAAUAACAGGAAGUAGUGGACGAACGAAUGAUUCAACCAUUUGGAACUUUCGAUGUUAGAUAAUACACAUUAAACGCACUUACCAACGUUUGUGCGAGAAGCAGCCCAGACGACUCUUAAGAAUCAGCUGACAGACCUGCUUUACACGUGGUACCUUCCUCGUUGUCGUUAUAACACAUCUAGACGAUUUUUCGGAGAAUCAUGAAUGAAAACUUGUAGAGAACGGUUAUCUUCUGCUGAUAUAGUGUAAAAGUAUAAGUGACUCUGAACAUGGUUUACAGUUUAUAUAAGAUCUAUGUCAAAAAGAAAAGUAACUCCUUAACAUAAUUAAGAAAUGUUUAAGAGAAAAUAAAUUAGUGUAGAUAAAGGAACUAAACGGUGUUUGUGGAAUCGUUGAAUAUAUACAAAGGAAAGAAAUUGAGCUCGAGUUCCGAGAACCGGAAACAUGCAUCAGUACUUGAAAAGUAGGUGAGUGAUUAAAGUAAGAUUAUUAAAUAAAACAUUUUUUAUUCAUUUAUUACUCGUGGUCCUGUUUGCUCUGCGGCUUAAGGACGACUUCUUUGUUGUUUCUUACAAUCAGUUAAGUCCCCUUAUUCCACUGAUUUUGUAUUCGUCAACAAAAACGAUAAGAAGCUUGUUGUGGCCUUGUUUACAGCAUCUAUAACGUAUUAGUAAAUUAAAUUAAAGUAUUAAGCGAGAUCAGUAAUGUCAAAUUUAUUUUAGUAAUUACACCAAAUUUGUUCGACUAAUUUGUAUUUUCGGUGGUACUUUAUCGCGAUACUACACUGUGGUUGAUAUUAAUGUCGCUUCAUUCGCGAACCGGUACGUUCCGGUUUCGAUUGACCUUACUGACUCUUAUCAUAUAGUGAUUCUUAUCAUGGCGGUUCUCAACCUAUUCUUUCAUCAAUUGGUCCGCCUUAAUAAUUACGGUACAUCGCAGAGACGCAUCUCCACAAUUUACAAUUACAACCAUUUUGGUUAUGUGGUGUAACGCUCGACAACUGUUGAUCCAUUGCUGAUUUUACGAUUGCUCCAUUAGACGACAAGACGAACGCGAGAAAAUCCGAUAUAUGAGAAUAUCUAAGAUCCUUUUUUCCUUUAUUCUCAUAAAAUGUCGUUUAUGUAAGCCGCGGUAACUUCUUUCCAGUUCGCGCUGGAUCUUGUCUGACGAUGAACCUUUUAUCUGGAAGUAAAUUGCCGAGAGGUACCCGGAUAUCUUCGUAUAUACAGAUACGAGUGUUUCUGUUUUCACGAUAGCUUGCAAAAGGUUGAAGUUAAUCGGCGAAGUUUAAACGUCGACGAAAGAUCAGGCAAUACGAAUCGCCUGUGUUUGUAAAAAAAAAUGGAUCAUUAUUUUAUAACUGAUUAGAUAUUAGCACAUAGAACACACAUACUAGUGACCGUUCCUUAGCCGCUUGCGUCACGAAUUUAUAAUCAAUAAGCGUCGAUAGCGAAAACCGGAAUCUGUUGGUUAUUAUCGGACACAUCCUCCAAUCGUAAACCUAAAUCGAUUUUAACGGCAUUCUGUAGUAG